rnacentral:rRNA from 1 species
UGAGUUUGAUUCUGGCUCAGGACGAACGCUGGCGGCGUGCUUAAUACAUGCAAGUCGAACGCUCUCGACCUUCGGGUCACAUGAGAGAGUGGCGAACGGGUGCGUAACACGUGAGAAACCUGCCCCAAAGACGGGAAUAGCCCGAGGAAACUCGGAUUAAUACCCGAUACCUCCACAAUAUCGCAUGGCAUUGUGAAGAAAGUUCAGGCGCUUUGGGAGGGUCUCGCGGCCUAUCAGCUUGUUGGUGAGGUAACGGCUCACCAAGGCAUCGACGGGUAGCUGGUCUGAGAGGACGAUCAGCCACACUGGGACUGAGACACGGCCCAGACUCCUACGGGAGGCAGCAGUAGGGAAUCUUGCGCAAUGGGCGAAAGCCUGACGCAGCAACGCCGCGUGGGGGAUGAAUGCCUUCGGGUUGUAAACCCCUUUCAGCAGGGACGAAAAUGACGGUACCUGCAGAAGAAGCUCCGGCCAACUACGUGCCAGCAGCCGCGGUAAUACGUAGGGAGCGAGCGUUGUCCGGAAUUAUUGGGCGUAAAGAGCUCGUA